rnacentral:rRNA from 1 species
UACGAAGGGUGCAAACGUUGCUCGGAAUUAUUGGGCGUAAAGCGCACGUAGGCGGCUUUGCAAGUCCCAUGUGAAAUCCCACGGCUCAACCCGUGGAAGUGCAUGGGAAACUGCAGAGCUUGAGUACUUAAGAGGAUCGCGGAAUUCCCGGUGUAGAGGUGAAAUUCGUAGAUAUCGGGAGGAACACCAGUGGCGAAGGCGGCGAUCGUGGGAAGAUACUGACGCUGAGGUGCGGAAAGCGAUGGGGAGCAAACUAGGGGAUUAAGAUGAUCCC